rnacentral:lncRNA from 1 species
CACAAUCGAAGAGUAACAAUUAAUCGGAUCAAAAUGAGGGGAUCUUUUAAGAACUAAGUCACCAAAAGUUUUAUCAAUAAUUUUCAAAUCUGCACUGGACUCGGUUUCUAAAAUUUCCUUACCUCACUUACCUUCGGGAUCAUGUAGUGUGAUUUCAUCUUUGCUUAAGUUGAUCGUAUGAAAGCGUCUUUCAUUUGAGAGGUAUUGAAGUUGAAAGUUAUCUUUCGAUCUUUCGGGAACCUGAAAAGUAGCAACACAAGAAAAAUUCAUAUCUUGGUUAGUGGAAA